rnacentral:sRNA from 1 species
AAAUGAGAACAGGUUUCAUACUUUAAAUAUACUCAACUCAACUCAUUUUAUGAGAGAAAGAAAAAGCAAUAUCUAACCUAAAGAGAGAAACGAAACCUGUUUGUUCCAGAGGAGAAUAAGAACGAGAGAGAAUUAUUUGGCCUAUGUGUUCGUUUUUAAAGGUAAUCGGAUUGGCCAUAAGAUCGGUGCAUGGUUGUACAAUUAUGGUGCACUUUAUUGGACCGGACAUGGUGCAUGGCUGAAUAAUUAUGGAGGCACUCUAUUGGACGGGACAUCGGUGGGUUGGUGUAUAAUUAUGAAAAUCUGUUAUCAAGAACAAUAAAGUUUUGUAUGAUAACAAUCCUUCAAAAGAAAGAGCAAGG